AAAUUGAAGAGUUUGAUCAUGGCUCAGAUUGAACGCUGGCGGCAGGCCUAACACAUGCAAGUCGAACGGUAACAGGAAACAGCUUGCUGUUUCGCUGACGAGUGGCGGACGGGUGAGUAAUGUCUGGGAAACUGCCUGAUGGAGGGGGAUAACUACUGGAAACGGUAGCUAAUACCGCAUAACGUCGCAAGACCAAAGAGGGGGACCUUCGGGCCUCUUGCCAUCGGAUGUGCCCAGAUGGGAUUAGCUAGUAGGUGGGGUAACGGCUCACCUAGGCGACGAUCCCUAGCUGGUCUGAGAGGAUGACCAGCCACACUGGAACUGAGACACGGUCCAGACUCCUACGGGAGGCAGCAGUGGGGAAUAUUGCACAAUGGGCGCAAGCCUGAUGCAGCCAUGCCGCGUGUAUGAAGAAGGCCUUCGGGUUGUAAAGUACUUUCAGCGGGGAGGAAGGGAGUAAAGUUAAUACCUUUGCUCAUUGACGUUACCCGCAGAAGAAGCACCGGCUAACUCCGUGCCAGCAGCCGCGGUAAUACGGAGGGUGCAAGCGUUAAUCGGAAUUACUGGGCGUAAAGCGCACGCAGGCGGUUUGUUAAGUCAGAUGUGAAAUCCCCGGGCUCAACCUGGGAACUGCAUCUGAUACUGGCAAGCUUGAGUCUCGUAGAGGGGGGUAGAAUUCCAGGUGUAGCGGUGAAAUGCGUAGAGAUCUGGAGGAAUACCGGUGGCGAAGGCGGCCCCCUGGACGAAGACUGACGCUCAGGUGCGAAAGCGUGGGGAGCAAACAGGAUUAGAUACCCUGGUAGUCCACGCCGUAAACGAUGUCGACUUGGAGGUUGUGCCCUUGAGGCGUGGCUUCCGGAGCUAACGCGUUAAGUCGACCGCCUGGGGAGUACGGCCGCAAGGUUAAAACUCAAAUGAAUUGACGGGGGCCCGCACAAGCGGUGGAGCAUGUGGUUUAAUUCGAUGCAACGCGAAGAACCUUACCUGGUCUUGACAUCCACAGAACUUUCCAGAGAUGGAUUGGUGCCUUCGGGAACUGUGAGACAGGUGCUGCAUGGCUGUCGUCAGCUCGUGUUGUGAAAUGUUGGGUUAAGUCCCGCAACGAGCGCAACCCUUAUCCUUUGUUGCCAGCGGUCCGGCCGGGAACUCAAAGGAGACUGCCAGUGAUAAACUGGAGGAAGGUGGGGAUGACGUCAAGUCAUCAUGGCCCUUACGACCAGGGCUACACACGUGCUACAAUGGCGCAUACAAAGAGAAGCGAACUCGCGAGAGCAAGCGGACCUCAUAAAGUGCGUCGUAGUCCGGAUUGGAGUCUGCAACUCGACUCCAUGAAGUCGGAAUCGCUAGUAAUCGUGGAUCAGAAUGCCACGGUGAAUACGUUCCCGGGCCUUGUACACACCGCCCGUCACACCAUGGGAGUGGGUUGCAAAAGAAGUAGGUAGCUUAACCUUCGGGAGGGCGCUUACCACUUUGUGAUUCAUGACUGGGGUGAAGUCGUAACAAGGUAACCGUAGGGGAACCUGCGGUUGGAUCACCUCCUUACCUUAAAGAA
rnacentral:rRNA from 1 species